rnacentral:rRNA from 1 species
GUCUACAGCCAUGCCACCCUGAACGUGCUCCAUCUCGCUUGAUCUCGGAAGCUAAGCGGGGUCGGGCCUGGUUAGUACUUGGAUGGGAGACCACCUUGGAAGACCAGGCUCUGUAGGUG